CCCGUAAGUGGCACAGAAAUGGCAUCAAGAAACCCAGAUCCCAUAGAUACGAAUCUCUCAAAGGGGUUGAUCCCAAGUUUCUGAGGAACAUGAGGUUUGCAAAGAAACACAACAAAAAGGGGCUGAAGAAGAUGCAGGCCAACAAUGCCAAGCAGGCUGCUCAGCAGAAAAAGGACUGACAUGGUUUAAGACAACCAGUUUUCCUAGUGGCAUGCGUAUUUCAGCUGUUUUGUAAAAAUAAAAUUGGACGUAACAAA